GACGAACGCUGGCGGCGUGCUUAACACAUGCAAGUCGAACGAAGAGCGAUGGAAGCUUGCUUCUAUCAAUCUUAGUGGCGAACGGGUGAGUAACGCGUAAUCAACCUGCCCUUCAGAGGGGGACAACAGUUGGAAACGACUGCUAAUACCGCAUACGAUCUAACCUCGGCAUCGAGGAAAGAUGAAAGGUGGCCUCUAUGUAUAAGCUAUCACUGAAGGUGGGGAUUGCGUCUGAUUAGCUAGUUGGAGGGGUAACGGCCCACCAAGGCGAUGAUCAGUAGCCGUACUGAGAGGAUGAACGGCCACAUUGGGACUGAGACACGGCCCAGACUCCUACGGGAGGCAGCAGUGGGGAAUCUUCCGCAAUGGACGAAAGUCUGACGGAGCAACGCCGCGUGAGUGAUGACGGCCUUCGGGUUGUAAAGCUCGGUUAAUCGGGACGAAAGGCCUUCUUGCGAAUAGGGAGAAGGAUUGACGGUACCGGAAUAGAAAGCCACGGCUAACUACGUG
rnacentral:rRNA from 1 species